rnacentral:lncRNA from 1 species
AUUAUUUUACAGUUAGUGAAACUAAAGAUGUUGCUGAGAAAAAGCCUCAAAAUAGAGAUGUCACAGAAAUUAAGGGUGAUGCUGAGGAGUCGCCAAAUGGAGAUGAUUGGUUAUGUACUAGCUGCAGUUGGAGAUGCGGGAUGUGCCACAAGAGACGCAAACAUACCGAUUAAUCUGUAACAUUCCAUGGAAUGGACCAGAAAAUGGGGAAAUUUAUAUUGGAAUCUGGUAAU